rnacentral:rRNA from 1 species
UACAGAGGUGGCAAGCGUUGUUCGGAAUUACUGGGCGUAAAGGGUGCGUAGGCGGCGCGGUAAGUCGGGUGUGAAAUCUCGGAGCUUAACUCCGAAACUGCAUUCGAUACUGCCGUGCUUGAGGACUGGAGAGGAGACUGGAAUUUACGGUGUAGCGGUGAAAUGCGUAGAUAUCGAGAGGAACACCUGCGGCGAAGGCGGGUAGCUGGGCCGACACGUGACGCUGAGGCGCGAAAGCGUGGGUAGCAAACAGG